UAUUAUUUAUUCAUGGUGGAUAGAAACAAAACAUUUUCUUGGAAUUUUUUACAAAACUACUAUAGCAACACAUGAAUUAACAAAAUAAAUUCUUAGAUAUAAUCCUUCCACAAAUAUUUUUUUGCUAACUGAUCAAGCAACAUUUACAUAGUUUUUAUGGGAACCGUUAAUAAUAAGAUUAUUUGAUAGGUUUGAUCAAAAUAAGAGAAUAAUUGAAUUUGCCAUCCUCUCUUGACCGUCUUUCAAACCUUUGUAGUUUGUACCAUUUGACUUUGACUCUCUCUUUCUGAAAUCUCUCAUUCUCUCUCCUUUGGCUGCUUCUUCUCUCUACUUUUCUCAACUUUAAUAUUUUUCUUCAGUUUUUGAAAUAAGAAAAUAAAAAUAUGGAACGAAUAAUUUUCCCUAGCUCCCUCCAUCUCUCUCUCUCUCUGGUUAUCACAGAAGCUAAGCAAUGAAGCUCUAAGUAUCUCCUCUUCUUCUUCUUCAUCUUCAUCUUCAGUUCUCAUAAUCUUAUAUUGUGUUGGGAGAAAGUCACACGUGUGAUCUUCCUACAUGGAUGCAUUCUUCUUAACGGAUGAUCCCAAUACCCGGAAACAGUUAAUCGAGUCGCUAGCUCAAUCUUUUGGAUGUGUUUACGUUUGUCUUUGGUCUUAUUAUUUCCCUCGACCUUCUAACUAUUUGAUAUCAAUGGAUGGAUAUUACAAUGAAGCUUCUGAAGAACCUUCUUCUUCUUCUUCUUCCGGAAGUUUAGCUAGAAGCUUAUUCCAUGAGUAUCGCCAAUCCGUUAUCCCACUCCAAAAUGGGCAUGUACCAAGCAUGGCGUUCAUGAACAAUCUUCCAUACGUAGAGAUUCGACCACAAGAGAUUCAAAGACUUGCUUUUAACGACGCACAACGUCUAUUCUAUCAGGUCAUUAUAUUAUUACAAUCACCACCACAACACCGUUUUUAUUUCAUAUUUAUCUGUUAUAAUUUCUAUUAUUAUGAUAUUCACUAACAAUCAAUUCUUCACCUCUUUUCAUUAUUGGUCGCAGCAAGCCAGGAUUCAGGUACAAUAUUUCAUUUUCAUUAAUAUUUCAACAAAACGUAAUUAAUACAUGUAAAUUUAAUGUUAUAAAUGUGUUAUGGAUCAGACAGUGAUAUUCAUGGGUUGCCGGAGCGGCGAGAUCGAACUCGGAAUGACAUAUGAUGCUACAAAUAUGAAAAUAGAAGCAAGUCUUCGAGAAUGGUUCCCUGAAGAUUUCAAUAGAAAGUCUUCUCCGGUAAACUCCGACUAUCUCCGGCCACCGCAU